AGGAUAUGAUGGAGAGAGACAGACAAGACACGGAGACAGCAACAGAAUAGGACAUGAUGGAGAGAGACACCAGACAGGACACAGAGACAGCAACAGAAUGUGAUAUGACGGAGAGAGACAUCAGACAAGACACAGAGAAAGCAACAGAGGAAUAGGAUUUGAUGGAGAGAGACACCAGACAAGACACAGAGACAGCAACAGAGGAAUAGGAUUUGAUGGAGAGAGACACCAGACAAGACACAGAGACAGCAACAGACGACACAGAGAAAGUGAUGGAGAGAGACAGAAGAGAAUAGAGUUCCAGACAGUUGUAGAAUGUAUACCAAGACACAUUGUAAGAGCUAUAAAGAGAGAGGGGGUGGGAGAGAGAACAGGCAUAACCUGAUAUGUAAAUGAGCAGAGCAAAUGAAACUCACUUUUGACGACCUGAUGAUCAUCCAGACUGUGUUUCUAUUGAGAGAUAAAAGGCUGGUUGAAUGAGUUGCCUAUGAAAGCUACUUCAUCUGUAAGAAAACAGGCGUCUGCACCAGUGACUGGGUCAGUUCUCAUAAAUGAGUCUCUCUGGGGAGAGAGAUGAGGGGGGCCC